AGAGGAAUAGGGAAAAACAGUCCAUAACUGUGUUGUGUGUCAGUUUUUAAUAUGUAAACAUGUUUACUUGUCUAUUUUAUGCUGUAUAUACUAAAGAUGAACACUGUAUUAGUGAGUUUUCCUCUUCAAGAGUAAUGGUAUAAGAGAAAAGAGAAGAAGAGAACCAUCUAAAUCCAGAUUGGAGACUCACAUCAGCUUCCAGUUGAAUUCCUUAUCCCCAAAGAUACUGCAAAAAUUGAUAAUAUUUUUCUUAUUCAGUAGUUAACCACUAAGAACCAAAAAAGAGAGAGAAAACCUACUGGAGCAAAGAAAGCAUUCUCAGAAGACUCGCAUACACAUUGUGCUGUUGUUUUAAGGAAGAGGAAUGUCAGAGGAUCUGUGAGAGCAACAAGAUAAGGAGAGCUAGUGAACAGAACAGCAGGAAGCUUGUGGAUGAUAAACUCAACUCAUUUCAAGCAUCAAAAGAUGAUGAAAAAGAAACAGACGUAUGAGCGUGAAAGGAAGUGGAAAGGAGGAAAGGAACAAAAUAGGAAACUGAAAGGCUCAGCAUUCAGUCCUGCUGCACACAGAUGGCCAGAUGCAAUAUAAGACUUGUGCCUUGGUUUUGUAGAAGAAAGAAGAAGUGGCAGGUAAUAAAUACUGAACUUCCUUUUCUACACAUGGAUGCCAGUUUUAAGGGAGGUGAACUCUUUAAUGCCAGAGAAGAGAAUAUUCUCAAGCAUCUUAACUUCAGACAAGGUUUCAUGCAACCCCCAUUACCACCUGAAUACUAUAUAAAAAUUAUCCCUCAUUAUAAAGCUUGCUAUACUUGAAAUGGAUAUAAAUAGAACCGUGGUGCUGCAUUGGCAGGCCUCAUAUUUCUCUUGGUUCCUAUUAAAUGAGCCACUAAAUUACAGCGUCCUUCUUUGUAAUAACCUUCUCAGAAGCCAAGCAUUCCAUGUGUUAUGAAGGGCUGUACAGCAUGGGAAAUUAGCAUGGGUGGUUUAUUAUGGAGUAAGCACUUAGCUGCACAUUAGUGUUACAGGAGAGUGUGUUACAACAGAAGAAAAGUGGGCAAUUUCAUUAUCCUUUCAACAAUCUGUCAUGAAAAACUGGAAGCUCAGCCAGGAUUUGGUAUUCUGCUGAUGUAAGACAAAAGAAAAAAGGGGAGGUGGAAGAGGAGGGAAGAGGAAGAGGAGGAAGA
rnacentral:lncRNA from 11 species